rnacentral:rRNA from 1 species
UACGAAGGGUGCAAGCGUUACUCGGAAUUACUGGGCGUAAAGGGCGCGUAGGCGGCCUUCUAAGUCAGACGUGAAAUCCCCCGGCUUAACCUGGGAACUGCGUCUGAUACUGGGAGGCUUGAGUAUGGGAGAGGGAUGUAGAAUUCCAGGUGUAGCGGUGAAAUGCGUAGAUAUCUGGAGGAAUACCGGUGGCGAAGGCGGCAUCCUGGACCAUUACUGACGCUGAGGCGCGAAAGCUAGGGGAGCAAACGGG